rnacentral:rRNA from 1 species
UACGUAGGGUGCGAGCGUUGUCCGGAAUUAUUGGGCGUAAAGAGCUCGUAGGCGGUUUGUCGCGUCUGCCGUGAAAGUCCGGGGCUCAACUCCGGAUCUGCGGUGGGUACGGGCAGACUAGAGUGAUGUAGGGGAGACUGGAAUUCCUGGUGUAGCGGUGAAAUGCGCAGAUAUCAGGAGGAACACCGGUGGCGAAGGCGGGUCUCUGGGCAAUAACUGACGCUGAGGAGCGAAAGCGUGGGGAGCGAACAGG